GUCAGCCGGUGGGCGGGUGCCGGAUCCCCCACGGCGACGGGGGGAUCCGCGGAAGCUCCGCCAAAGCUGCGGGCUCGCGCCGCUGUAAGGCGGCGGGGGGAAUCCCCGGGCAACGGCCCAGAAACGCAACCCCCCUUCCGGCAGUGAACAUGAUGCGGUAAACCUCCGGCAACGGAGGCUUCCCGCUGAGGAGCCGGGAGGGGAGGAUGAAACGGCCGCCCCGCGGGUUAGGGCCAAGCAGGGUCCGUGAGGUCCCGCAGCGAGACCCGGGUGGGCCCCCAGACGAAUCCCGCCUGAAACAGAAGGCGGGCUACUACCGGCUGAC
rnacentral:RNase_P_RNA from 1 species